rnacentral:rRNA from 1 species
UACGAAGGGGGCUAGCGUUGCGCGGAAUGACUGGGCGUAAAGGGCGCGUAGGCGGAUGGCUUUGUCGGGCGUGAAAUUCCAGGGCUUAACCUUGGGGCUGCGUUCGAGACGGGUUGUCUUGAGUUCGGAAGAGGGUCGUGGAAUUCCCAGUGUAGAGGUGAAAUGCGCAGAUAUCGGGAAGAACACCCGUGGCGAAGGCGGCUCUCUGGGACGGUACUGACGCUGAGACGCGAAAGCGUGGGGAGCGAACAGG